rnacentral:rRNA from 1 species
UAGCUAGUUGGUGGGGUAAGGGCCUACCAAGGCGACGAUCGGUAGCUGGUCUGAGAGGAUGACCAGCCACACUGGAACUGAGACACGGUCCAGACUCCUACGGGAGGCAGCAGUGGGGAAUAUUGGACAAUGGGGGCAACCCUGAUCCAGCAAUGCCGCGUGUGUGAAGAAGGCCUGAGGGUUGUAAAGCACUUUCAGUGGGGAGGAGUGUUGAUGGGUUAAGAGCUAAUUAACUGGACGUUACCCACAGAAGAAGCACCGGCUAACACCGUGCCGGCAGCCGCGGUAAUACGGAGGGUGCGAGCGUUAAUCGGAAUUACUGGGCGUAAAGAGUGCGUAGGUGGUUGAAUAAGUUAUCUGUGAAAUCCCUGGGCUUAACCUGGGCAGGUCAGAUGAUACUGUUUAACUCGAGUAUGGGAGAGGGUAGUGGAAUUUCCGGUGUAGCGGUGAAAUGCGUAGAGAUCGGAAGGAACACCAGUGGCGAAGGCGGCUACCUGGCCUAAUACUGACACUGAGGCACGAAAGCGUGGGGAGCAAACAGGAUUAGAUACCCUGGUAGUCCACGCUGUAAACGAUGUCAACUAGCUGUUGGUUAUAUGAAAAUAAUUAGUGGCGC